GAUGAAGAACGUAGUGAAAUGCGAUAAGUAAUGUGAAUUGCAGAAUUCAGUGAAUCAUCGAAUCCUUGAACGCACAUUGCGCCCCCUGGUAUUCCGGGGGGCAUGCCUGUCCGAGCGUCAUUACAACCCUCAAGCUCAGCUUGGUGUUGGGCCCCGCCGCCCCGGCGGGCCCUAAAGUCAGUGGCGGUGCCGUCCGGCUCCGAGCGUAGUAAUUCUUCUCGCUCUGGAGGUCCGGUCGUGUGCUCGCCAGCAACCCCCAAUUUUUUUCAGGUUGACCUCGGAUCAGGUAGGGAUACCCGCUGAACUUAAGCAUAUCAAUAAGCGGAGGA
rnacentral:misc_RNA from 1 species